AUUAUAUUUUAAUUUUUCAACAAGCUAAACAAACAAUUAUUGGCAAUUGGUAGAAUUUAUAUAAUUAAUCAAUGAAUACAGUGAACUAUAUGAUUAGACAGCUCAAUUUGACCAGCUAUUAUGAAAUUAAUUUUGUUUUCUUUCAAAUUUCAAUUGCAUUUAGUAGUACCUACUAACUUUUAAAUCAAAUAUUUAUUACAAGAUUGGAAGAACAAAUAAAAAUUGUUAUUUUGGUUAGUCUCAGCAUAGUAUAUCUCACCUGAUAACUUAAUAAUUACAUUCUGAUUAAAAAAAAAAAAAAAAAAUAGUACAACAUCAAGACCAACUAACUACUUCUACAUUUGUAAAAAUUGUUGAUAAUCACAUUAAUAGUUAAUCUUAAUUGUAUGUUUAAAUAAUUAGGUUAAGUUAUUGGUACAUACCAUAAGUAGGGCUAUGGAGUUUUUAUUAAUCUAAAUUGGCAAAUAAAUUUUUUUUUUUUUAAUAUGAGUGUCAUUUUCAUGGAAUAUUAAAAGAUUCUUAUAUCGUAAAAUAUUAAUUAAAAAUUAACAUAAUU